AUGGAAACCACUACAUAUUAUACAAAAAAAGAUUAAUGCCAAAAUCAUCGAAAAUCAAAUAUAUUUUGACUACAUUUCCUUGUACACAUAUGAGUUAUAGUAGGCUAGAUUCAUGUAUCUAGAUGGAAGUUGGGUCAUAUUCAUUCUCGGUGUCUCUUGUCAAAAUACAAUGACACGCAAUAAGAAGUAAACAAAAAACCUUGAUCAGAUGUUGAAAAAAAGUUAAUAUAAAUCUUCACACGGUGAGCAUCCGAUAAUGGCCUAGACGAAUGAUCUCUAUUCAGCAGCUGCAAGGAAAACUCAAUCAUAAAAAAAAAGCUCAAUAAAUGCAUUAUAUGCAUCAUAAUCACUAUCAACGCGAAAGGAAAUUAUGCAAAAAUAAUGUCAAAAAAAUUAAUUACAAAAUAUCAUGUCAUCUAUACAAUAUAAAAAACUUAAAAACUGGAACAAAAAUACAAAAAAAUAGAACAUACACCAAUGCACUGAUUUCACGCAAGACACGUAUCAAAGCAAUUGACACGUACCCCUGCCAGCUUGGUCUCGGACUGAAUUUGACAGAUUAACGAACAAAAUCACAGAUAAAAAUGAUCCAGAUAAAUACCAAAAUAAUUUUUAAAAUCUCCAAAAUAAUUAAAAACUAAUAAAAUAUGAUUUUCAUGAUUUUUGGAUCAUUUUUGAAAUUAAUAGAAACACCCCACUUUAAUCUACAUAGAAAAUCAUUUAGAGCUGAAAAAUUAACAAAAUGUGAUUUUAUGAAUUUUAUAAAUCUCUAAAAAUAUUUAAUGAAAUUAUAAACCGAUAAAAAUGAUUUUAUAGGCAAUACACAAUUUUACAAAAAUCCAAUCACUAUAAAUCCAUAACAAGUAGAAAUCGAUAACACAGCUCAACAAUCCGAUAGAAAUAAAAUACACUGACUUUCGAGAAUACAAUCACAUAAUAAUCAUUUAGAAUUUUCAAAGUAAUAUAUGAAAUUCAUUUAUGAAGAAACAAUUAUAUACCAACAACACAAUAACCCGGAGUUUAAAUAUAACAUUUUGAAAAUUGAAAUGGAAUAAAAUAUUAAAUCUCAUUCCCUUCCUUUAAGAAAAUCACUUUCAUGAUAAUAAAUAGAUUUUAAAAAUUCAGGUCAUUACAAUCUACCCUCCUUAUAAGGAUUCCGUCCUCGGAAUCAAAGAAAGAAGGAGGACACGUAAUCUACUAAUCCACGAAACAUAUAUAGACCAUCACACAAUAUUCAAUUAAAUACAACCAUAAUAUAUAAACAAAUUAGAUCUAUAAUAAUCAUAUCCGAAUUAGAGAUCUGGAAUAUUACAUUCUACCCCCCUUUCAAAGAUUCUGUCCUCAGAAUUCGCGAAUAGAACUAAAACAUACACGCUUCGCAAUAUCGUAUCGUCAUCCACUGUUGAUUAACCUUGGCAUACCCUCACUUUAAGGGAAUAGGAAUCUUAAAUUUUUCGCAAAUGCAGAAUUAACUUCCUGGAAUAAAUCUUUGAGGAUUUGGCCAUAGAAAAAAAAAAUGUUUUCAAAGUAGGUUUCAUCUGAAUAAACGAGUGACUGAGAGAUCAAUAUGAUCCAACGAACUUAGUGUUGCGUGCCCAUAUUAGACACUACUAAAGGUUAUUAGCCUUCUUGUAAUCACAACACACACAAGUGAUGGCGUCCCAUCAAACUUCUAUCACACAGACAGAUGGUCCUUGUGUCCCCUAUAAUAGGGUUGUUCAUCUCAGUUAGAGUUGCAAAUAUGAAAAUUUCAAGAUCCACCAACAAUGAUUGACUUUUGAGAAAUGAAUCUUAAAUACGAACCUUAAGAGUUAAAAUUGAAUAGCUUCCAAAGAUACAAAUUUUUGACAAAAGGACUUCAUGAAUGUCUUUAUAGAAGAGAUAUUAAAACAAUUCACUGACUGUGAAAAUGCUCAAUAAAAUCAAUAUUGAGGAUGGUAUUGCCAAGGCUAUCACAUAUGUCUUCUCGAUCGAUUCUUCUGAUAACUCGUUUCGAUUCUACGAUAAAUAUUAUUAACUUAUAUUCACCUUCGUAGAUCCCGUCACCAAUAUCCACGUUAGGUAGAACACCUGUCGAGCUUGAUACUUUCAGAAGUCAUAUCCAACUUUGCACAAUCAGCAGUGUAGAGCAUUGAGGUUGUAACCUACUCAUAAUACUAUAUCGAGUAGUCUACCACUCUUUCUAUAUAAUUUUCAAAUAAAGAACUAUACACUUGGCCUCUCACAAUGAUCCAUCAAAUCUCAUAUUCCUUCUAUAUGACUUCAUAAGAAUACUAGAUGACCCUCGAACAAAUACUCAAAAAGUGGUAGAGAUGACAAGGAACACUCAAGACUAGAUAGGUCAAUACACAAGUCUAGCUGCCUCUGGUUACUCAGAAAGUCAAACUCAAGUUCAAAAAGAUUGAAAACUAAAGGUUCCAUCAUGUCCCUGAAAUCCAACUCACUAGUUCUCGAAUUAGAAACUAGGAUAUCCCAAAUGAUUACUUGAAAUCAAUGCUCCAAUAUCUACCUCAAUUCUAUCAACAAAGACUAUACCAAAUAGUCUUGACUUAUCUCUAGCUGAGGUCCCACUAAACACAAUCCUAAUACAACCUACAUUCUGAUUUCAAUAACUUAUAACCUGUAGCUCUGAUACCAACUGUGACAGCCCUCAAAUCCGGGGGUCUAGAUUUGGUGCCACUAAAAGAAAACCAAUUGAAAAUCUGUAUGUUUUUUUUUUUUUUAAAAAAAGCAAAAACAAGUAUUUCAAACCUGGAUAUUAAAAAAAAUGAUUUACCCUUUCGAAACAUGUAUUGUUGAAAAGCUAAUAAAAAUCAAAGAAUUUAAAACCUAAAAGCUUUAAUAAAAGAUUUAAAAAAAAACAAAGUUUAACCCCCUUUAAAACAGGAUCGCAAACAGGCUAUAUUAUUGAAAUCAGAAAAGUAAAACUAAUAAAUCUUAUUACAUGUUUUUACAACUAAAACAAGUUUAGACAACUCUAAUUACCACUAGUCCCAAAGACUCGAUCUUGGAUACUCUUCCUGACCAUCAGGUUGAAACUUAGUCACUUGCAAUCCUCGCCUAGCCUUACUCUUAUGCUUAGCCUAAAUAGGCGAACCAUCUUUAACAUUAUCUGAAAGGGGUUAGAAGAAAUAGCAAGAAUGAGCAAAAGAAUGCUCAGCAAGUAUAUAAUAUCCAAACCAACAAUAAAUCAAACAGUAUGUAAAAUCUGACAAUGAUAUAAAGAUAAUGAUACCAACACAAUAUGAUUUAAACAAAACAGUUUCUCCUUUAUGGAAUUGGAACCAGAUAAGACGCUACGAGCUAAGCUGGGUGAUCAGCCCACGACAUAGCUCCGAACCCGCAUAUUCAAUACGAGUUCUCAAAUAUAAAGGAUCCUAGGCACACUUUGGCCUUUAAUAAUUCAAUUGGGACCGGCGCCUCGGUCAUAAAACAUUUUCAUCCAAUUCCCUUUCUAAAACAGAUAAAUCAAAUCAUUUUUCAUUUUAAGACCUAUUUUAUGAAAACUAAUCCACUUCUAACAAUUUAAAUCAACAGACAACUGAAUCAACAGAACAGAAUCAUAAUCAUUAUCAGCAACAGAAAUAUUUCAAAUCAACUUUUGGGAAUCAACAUUUCAUAAACCACAGUCUGUCUUUUGAUAAAUCAUAGUUCAGG
rnacentral:lncRNA from 1 species